rnacentral:rRNA from 1 species
AGUGAACGCUGGCGGUAGGCCUAACGCAUGCAAGUCGAACGGCAGCACAGUAAGAGCUUGCUCUUACGGGUGGCGAGUGGCGGACGGGUGAGGAAUACAUCGGAAUCUACUUUUUCGUGGGGGAUAACGUAGGGAAACUUACGCUAAUACCGCAUACGACCUACGGGUGAAAGCAGGGGAUCUUCGGACCUUGCGCGAUUGAAUGAGCCGAUGUCGGAUUAGCUAGUUGGCGGGGUAAAGGCCCACCAAGGCGACGAUCCGUAGCUGGUCUGAGAGGAUGAUCAGCCACACUGGAACUGAGACACGGUCCAGACUCCUACGGGAGGCAGCAGUGGGGAAUAUUGGACAAUGGGCGCAAGCCUGAUCCAGCCAUACCGCGUGGGUGAAGAAGGCCUUCGGGUUGUAAGGCCCUUUUGUUGGGAAAGAAAAGCAGCAGGUUAAUACCCCGCUGUUCUGACGGUACCCAAAGAAUAAGCACCGGCUAACUUCGUG